GCCCGGGUGGUGAAAUUGGUAGACGCAGGGGACUCAAAAUCCCCCGCCGCAAGGCGUGCCGGUUCGAGUCCGGCCCUGGGCACCA
rnacentral:tRNA from 1 species